rnacentral:rRNA from 1 species
CAGCAGUCGCCGCGGGAAUACAGAGGGUGCGAGCGUUAAUCGGAUUUACUGGGCGUAAAGCGUGCGUAGGCGGCUUCUUAAGUCGGAUGUGAAAUCCCUGAGCUUAACUUAGGAAUUGCAUUCGAUACUGGGAAGCUAGAGUAUGGGAGAGGAUGGUAGAAUUCCAGGUGUAGCGGUGAAAUGCGUAGAGAUCUGGAGGAAUACCGAUGGCGAAGGCAGCCAUCUGGCCUAAUACUGACGCUGAGGUACGAAAGCAUGGGGAGCAAACAGGAUUAGAUACCCGAGUAGUCCCUGUCUCUUAUAA